CCAUUCUUUUCCUUUUUCUCUUUUUUCUUCCCCUAUCCGGUUGGACCUCUCUCUCUCACGCUCCCCAUUUCUUUUCUUCUUUUCUCUGUUCUCUUCCCCCACUCGAUUCCCUUCUCUUCUUCUUCCUCUCUUCCUCUCGGUUCCAGCCCGUGGCAGAGCACCCGAUCCCUCUCUCCAUUUCCUUCCCUCUCUUCUUCCUCCCCACACACAGCUCUCCUUCUCCCUCUUCUCCUUGGCACACACCCACCGACCCGAGAGAUUGAGCUGCCGAGAGUGAGAGAUUUUCCUGCAAAAACUGAGACCGAAAGAUGCAGGAAUUCAAGAUGAUGUUCAUUUGGUUGCAGGUACUCCAGUCGUAGUUGAUGGGGUUGUAGAUGUGCAUUUGAGAUAUUAUGACCGAAGCUCGCCGCGAUUGUCGUAAUUGCGGGACCAUGGGUGUUCUCAGUUUUAUAGGUCAUUUUUAUGGCUUGUGACGUCUGAGUCACUUGUUAUUGUAUAAAGUCAUCUCUGUUAUAUAAUUAUUGAGGAAAGACUUAAACAAAUAGAUGUUAAAUGACUCUUGUUGUAACUAAUUUGUGAUAGAUGUUUAAGAUGUAAUUUCAGCUAUUAGAUUUAUGUUU